GGACGAACGCUGGCGGCGUGCCUAACACAUGCAAGUCGAACGGAGUUCCUUCGGGGACUUAGUGGCGAACGGGUGAGUAACGCGUGAAGAACCUGCCUUUCAGUGGGGGACAACAGUUGGAAACGACUGCUAAUACCGCAUAAUGUUAUUUGGGGGCAUCCUCGAAUAACCAAAGAUUUAUUGCUGAAAGAUGGCUUCGCGUCCGAUUAGGCAGUUGGUGGGGUAACGGCCCACCAAACCGACGAUCGGUAGCCGAACUGAGAGGUUGAACGGCCACAUUGGAACUGAGAUACGGUCCAGACUCCUACGGGAGGCAGCAGUGGGGAAUAUUGGGCAAUGGGCGAAAGCCUGACCCAGCGACGCCGCGUGAGGGAAGAAGGUCUUCGGAUUGUAAACCUCUUUCAGCAGGGAAGAAGCAAGUGACGGUACCUGCAGAAGAAGUCACGGCUAACUACGUG
rnacentral:rRNA from 1 species